CCACCAUCUACCUAACUCGAGCACCGUGAAUCGCGCUUAGACAUCAGCCGUUUCCGGUGUAUCGUCUUUGGAUAAUUGAAUUUCUCGCGACUGGUCGGAGAGAUUUUUUACAGAAGAGAUAUACAGUGCCGAGAACUUGGUAAAUUUGAGAAACGUUUCAAUCCGUAGAACAGUGUGCAGGAGCUGAUAAAUAGGUUUGGAGGGAUUCACUGUUUAAUCCUUGGCCGUGUUGAGGAAGCUAGAGAAAUUGUAAGUCUCUCGCGCUCCAUUUUCUUUCAUUGCUGUAUCAUUCCACCAAGUUUGAAAGGCGAAGAAUUCGGAGAGACGUUGCGUCGUGCAAGUGAAAACGUCGCGAGACUUCGACACAGCUCGACCACGACACCUCGAAGCUUCUUAACGAUCUCGAAACAACCCCCGAUCGAACGAAUAUGAAAUCUGGCGGUACACCAAAGGGAUAACCAUAGAACUGGCGGUUACGAGUCGCUAUCAGUGACAAUACUAGCUCGUUCGUAUUACUUAAAUCACGAUACCUUCGCACACAGACGCGGUUCCUGGUCGGCGGCGAGGCGAACCAAUGGACAGGACGAACGUACAAGUAGACAGAUUCAGUGAGCGAGCGAUGCCAUGCCAAGGCGAACCCGAGCCGCCCCUGUAAUCACAAUUGAAGGCUAUUUUCUCACCGCUCUGAUGAUGCACUCUGAUGAUGCCUACCUCUCGCAUAUAACCUCAUAGGAUCAUCUCCAUGGCUGAGCAUAGAGAAAGAAAAAGACGGAGAGACGAGAGUAGUAGAGUGGAGAGACGAGUUUAGUGUUUGUAACGGGGCACGGUAUAGAAGUGUAUGCAGGAUUGUGUGCGUAUGUGUGGUGGUUGCGAGCAGAAAAUAAGUAUAGAAGAUGAUGGACGCUCUCUGCGAGUAAUUCCCUCUAAUAAUUGAAAUGUGCCCGCCAGACCGCUUGCCCGGGUCCAGUUUGCGGUGUAUGCGUAUGGGUUGAUACAUAAUUGCGCGCACUAUCAAGUCCAAAACCAAUUUCGAUUUCGU